rnacentral:rRNA from 1 species
UAGGGAAUCUUCCGCAAUGGGCGAAAGCCUGACGGAGCAACGCCGCGUGAGUGAUGAAGGUCUUCGGAUCGUAAAACUCUGUUAUUAGGGAAGAACAAAUGUGUAAGUAACUAUGCACGUCUUGACGGUACCUAAUCAGAAAGCCACGGCUAACUACGUGCCAGCAGCCGCGGUAAUACGUAGGUGGCAAGCGUUAUCCGGAAUUAUUGGGCGUAAAGCGCGCGUAGGCGGUUUUUUAAGUCUGAUGUGAAAGCCCACGGCUCAACCGUGGAGGGUCAUUGGAGACUGGAAAACUUGAGUGCAGAAGAGGAAAGUGGAAUUCCAUGUGUAGCGGUGAAAUGCGCAGAGAUAUGGAGGAACACCAGUGGCGAAGGCGACUUUCUGGUCUGUAACUGACGAUGAUGUGCGAAAGCGUGGGGAUCAAACAGG